AUUUGAAUCGUUCAGUUGUGUUCAAAAGUUUUGAUCGUGCAAGAGAAGAAGAAGAAAUUCCUACAAAUUUAUUAAAGUAAAUUAUUUCAAUAAAAACGCAGAAACAGAAGUGCCUUUGUGUUGUGAGAUAUUUCCACACGCAUUAAAAAAUUGAAUUUAUAACAAUAAUAAAGCAAUAUUAUUAUUAAAAAAUAUAUAAAAAUAUUAUUACAGAAGCAAAAAAUAAUAAGAGACUGUGAAAAAAAUUAAAAAAAUAAAGAAAACUCAGAAGUGUUUGAAGCAAAAAAAUUAAAAUAAUAAUUAAAGUAAAUAAAAACAAAACACAAAAAAUAAAACAUACAAAAUGAGUCACCAUGAACAGCAACAAAGUACACAAAGUAUAGCUGAUUACUUAGCACAACUAUUGAAGGAUCGCAAACAAUUGGCAGCUUUUCCCAAUGUCUUCAAUCAUGUUGAACGACUUUUGGAUGAAGAAAUUUCAAAAGUACGAGCCUCAUUAUUCCAGAUAAAUGGUGUCAGAAAAGAGCCGUUAGAGUUACCGGAGCCAGAUGGACAACCGCUCACAAUGAAUGAAAAAGUCUAUGUACCAGUCAAAGAACAUCCAGAUUUCAACUUUGUCGGAAGAAUUCUCGGACCCCGAGGCAUGACCGCCAAACAGCUCGAGCAAGAAACAGGAUGCAAAAUUAUGGUGCGAGGCAAGGGCUCGAUGCGAGACAAAAAGAAGGAGGAUGCUAACAGAGGAAAACCCAAUUGGGAACAUUUAGCUGAUGACUUGCAUGUAUUAAUCACAGUUGAAGACACAGAAAACAGAGCUAAAGUUAAGCUGCAACGAGCAGUCGAAGAAGUACAAAAAUUAUUAGUACCUCAAGCCGAAGGUGAAGACGAACUCAAAAAGCGUCAAUUGAUGGAAUUAGCAAUUAUCAAUGGCACAUACCGAGACUCAAGUACAAAGGCAGCAACAGCAGAUUUAACCAAUAUAGCGGAGGAAGAAUGGCGUCGUGCCGCCGCAGCAGUUGCCGAAACGCGAUUAUUGUCACCCGCGAUGCCCGGUUUGGCGCAAGCGACGCAAUUACGGACUCAGGGUACGCCAUUGGGAGCUCCGCUGAUUUUGUCGCCGCGCAUGUCGGUGCCAACGACAGCAGCGAGCCUUCUUUCCGGCUCGGCGCCACCCCAAAUGGAGCACACCGGACUCAUUUAUGCCCAUCCCACGUAUACAGACUACACAAAUUACGCAGCACUUGCGGCAGCUGGAAAUCCCCUGUUGACUGAAUACGCCGAUCAUAGUGUAGGUGCAUUAAAAACACAACAAAGGAGACAGUUUACUCCCAGAGAUCAUCCAUAUCAAAGGGCUGGGGCUCUAUCUUAAAACCUGUCUGUCAAAUUUACAUCAAUUGCAUUGUUAUUUCGACUCGUAAAAAAUUAAACAUUAAUGUUUAAUUUGCAAUUGAUGAUGAAUUUCUUAAGAAGCACUAACAUUCGUAUCUAUGCUCUUAAAAAAACAAAAUUCAAUCAGACUCGUAAAAAAAAUUACUACUAUAUAACUACUACUAUAUAGAACUUAUAUAUUGCUAACAACACGACGUGGUGCCAUGGUAGACAAAUUCGUAUAAAUAUAUAUAAAAAGCCGUGUAAUAGUGAACAAAAAAAAAUAAAUAAGAAAAAAAAACACAGAGAAUACGUAAAAAAAAAUCUGCAAAAAAAUAAUAUAUAUUUCGUACUACUUUACUAAUAAUCCUGUUGUUCUCAAAAAAAAAAAAUAAUACCAAAAAACACAAAAAUUUUUGGACCCGACUAUCUGUGUCGAUGCUGCGAGCUACAAACAAACACCUGCUAGCCUACAACAACAACAGGACAAUUAACUGGAUCCACCUGACAACUAACUGAUGCAAUUGCAAUGUUAUUAUAUUAUAAUAAAUAUUAAAUAAUAUAUAUAUUCACAUCAUUUAUAAAUAUUAAUAAUAAAAAUUAAAUAAACAAAAAACCUUAAACAUAAUAGAAAUAACAAAAAACAACAACAACAUGUAUAAAAUUUAUUAAAGAAUUUUU